AUUGAACGCUGGCGGCAUGCCUUACACAUGCAAGUCGAACGGUAACAGGUCUUCGGAUGCUGACGAGUGGCGAACGGGUGAGUAAUACAUCGGAACGUGCCUAGUAGCGGGGGAUAACUACUCGAAAGAGUGGCUAAUACCGCAUGAGAUCUACGGAUGAAAGCAGGGGAUCGCAAGACCUUGUGCUACUAGAGCGGCCGAUGGCAGAUUAGGUAGUUGGUGGGAUAAAAGCUUACCAAGCCGACGAUCUGUAGCUGGUCUGAGAGGACGAUCAGCCACACUGGGACUGAGAAACGGCACAGACUCCUACGGGAGGCAGCAGUGGGGAAUUUUGGACAAUGGGCGAAAGCCUGAUCCAGCAAUGCCGCGUGCAGGAUGAAGGCCUUCGGGUUGUAAACUGCUUUUGUACGGAACGAAAAGCCCUGGGUUAAUACCCUGGGGUCAUGACGGUACCGUAAGAAUAAGCACCGGCUAACUACGUGCCAGCAGCCGCCGUAA
rnacentral:rRNA from 1 species